rnacentral:rRNA from 1 species
CGGAGGGUGCAAGCGUUAUCCGGAUUUACUGGGUUUAAAGGGUGUGUAGGCGGACUUUUAAGUCAGCGGUGAAAUCUCCGGGCUCAACCCGGAAACUGCCAUUGAUACUAUUGGUCUUGAAUGUUGUUGAGGUGGGCGGAACGGGUCAUGUAGCGGUGAAAUGCAUAGAUAUGACCCGGAACACCGAUCGCGUAGGCAGCCCACUAAGCAACGAUUGACGCUGAGGCACGAAAGCGUGGGGAUCAAACAGGAUUAGAUACCCUGGUAGUCCACGCCCUAAACGAUGAUUACUCGACGUUGGCGAUACACUGAUCAGCGUCCAAGCGAAAGCAUUAAGUAAUCCACCUGGGAAGUACGUUCGCAAGAAUG